GCCCGGGUGGCGAAAUUGGUAGACGCAGCGGACUUAAAAUCCGCCGGACCCGAGAGGGGCCGUACGGGUUCGAUUCCCGUCCUGGGCACCA
rnacentral:tRNA from 1 species